GCCUUCGUGGUGCAGUGGUCAGCACGCUCGACGCAUAUUCGACAGGUCCGUGGUUCGAGUCCGGGCGAGGGCA
rfam:Stegodyphus mimosarum contig37803, whole genome shotgun sequence.